rnacentral:rRNA from 1 species
UAGGGAAUCUUCCGCAAUGGGCGAAAGCUUGACGGAGCAACGCCGCGUGAGUGAUGAAGGUCUUCGGAUCGUAAAACUCUGUUAUUCGGGAAGAACAAACGUGUAAGUAACUAUGCACGUCUUGACGGUACCUAAUCAGAAAGCCACGGCUAACUACGUGCCAGCAGCCGCGGUCAUACGUAGGUGGCAAGCGUUAUCCGGAAUUAUUGGGCGUAAAGCGCGCGUAGGCGGUUUUUUAAGUCUGAUGUGAAAGCCCACGGCUCAACCGAGGAGGGUCAUUGGAUACUGGAAAACUUGAGUGCAGAAGAGGAAAGUGGAAUUCCAUGUGUAGCGGUGGAAUGCGCAGAGAUAGGGAGGAACACCAGUGGCGAAGUCGACUUUCUGGUCUGUAACUGACGCUGAUGUGCGAAAGCGGGGGGAUCAAACAGG